rnacentral:rRNA from 1 species
UACGGAGGGUGCAAGCGUUAUCCGGAUUCAUUGGGCGUAAAGGGUGCGUAGGCGGCGCGGAAAGUUGGGUGUGAAAUCCCUCGGCUCAACCGAGGAACUGCGCUCAAUACUACCGUGCUCGAGGGAGACAGAGGUGAGCGGAACUUAGGGUGGAGCGGUGAAAUGCGUUGAUAUCCUAAGGAACACCCGUGGCGAAAGCGGCUCACUGGGUCUCUUCUGACGCUGAGGCACGAAAGCUAGGGUAGCGAACGGG